GAACACGGUACGCAUUCAGCCUUUCCUCCGUAACUUAAGAAAUAGCAAAAAUCGACACUUUGUAUUUUCAUUCCUGCGUGUUUUCAAUUAACAGUUUUUGACUUGAUCGACAAUGGGCUUCAUUCAACCGAAUAUCAACUUGAAGAUUUGUACUCAGGCGAGGAAAUAGGUUCUACAAGGGAGAAUGGCAUUCCAUCAGAGCAGGUUGUAGAUCUCACAGGAGAAGUCGAUGGUGCGAGCGAUUGUGAACGGUACUUUAUGCAGGGUCUCUCCCCUACCAUUUACGAGGAGAACGGUCCGGUUCCGGAAUCGGAUCAGCCCUCGGCUUCGGUA